GACGUAGGGCGCGAGCGUUGUCCGGAUUUAUUGGGCGUAAAGAGCUCGUAGGCGGCUUGUUGCGUCGACCGUGAAAACCCGGGGCUCAACUUCGGGCUUGCGGUCGAUACGGGCUAGCUAGAGUGUGGUAGGGGAGAUCGGAAUUCCUGGUGUAGCGGUGAAAUGCGCAGAUAUCAGGAGGAACACCGGUGGCGAAGGCGGAUCUCUGGGCCAUUACUGACGCUGAGGAGCGAAAGCGUGGGGAGCGAACAGG
rnacentral:rRNA from 1 species